rnacentral:rRNA from 1 species
UGGGGAAUUUUGGACAAUGGGCGAAAGCCUGAUCCAGCAAUGCCGCGUGCAGGAUGAAGGCCUUCGGGUUGUAAACUGCUUUUGUACGGAGCGAAACGGCUUCUCCUAAUACGAGGAGCUAAUGACGGUACCGUAAGAAUAAGCACCGGCUAACUACGUGCCAGCAGCCGCGGUAAUACGUAGGGUGCAAGCGUUAAUCGGAAUUACUGGGCGUAAAGCGUGCGCAGGCGGUUAUAUAAGACAGAUGUGAAAUCCCUGGGCUCAACCUAGGAACUGCAUCUGUGACUGUAUAGCUAGAGUACGGUAGAGGGGGAUGGAAUUCCGCGUGUAGCAGUGAAAUGCGCAGAUAUGCGGAGGAACACCGAUGGCGAAGGCAAUCCCCUGGACCUGUACUGACGCUCAUGCACGAAAGCGUGGGGAGCAAACAGGAUUAGAUACCCAAGUAGUCCCUGAGCGGGCUGGCAAGGCGCAU